rnacentral:rRNA from 1 species
AUUGAACGCUACCUGCAGUUCGUACGAUUUCACGUCAGAGCUUGCUCUCGGGUGACGAGUGGCGGACGGGUGAGUAAUGUCUGGGAAACUGCCUGAUGGAGGGGGAUAACUACUGGAAACGGUAGCUAAUACCGCAUAACGUCGCAAGACCAAAGAGGGGGACCUUCGGGCCUCUUGCCAUCAGAUGUGCCCAGAUGGGAUUAGCUAGUAGGUGGGGUAACGGCUCACCUAGGCGACGAUCCCUAGCUGGUCUGAGAGGAUGACCAGCCACACUGGAACUGAGACACGGUCCAGACUCCUACGGGAGGCAGCAGUGGGGAAUAUUGCACAAUGGGCGCAAGCCUGAUGCAGCCAUGCCGCGUGUAUGAAGAAGGCCUUCGGGUUGUAAAGUACUUUCAGCGGGGAGGAAGGUGUUGUGGUUAAUAACCGCAGCAAUUGACGUUACCCGCAGAAGAAGCACCGGCUAACUCCGUGCCAGCAGCCGCGGUAAUACGGAGGGUGCAAGCGUUAAUCGGAAUUACUGGGCGUAAAGCGCACGCAGGCGGUCUGUCAAGUCGGAUGUGAAAUCCCCGGGCUCAACCUGGGAACUGCAUUCGAAACUGGCAGGCUAGAGUCUUGUAGAGGGGGGUAGAAUUCCAGGUGUAGCGGUGAAAUGCGUAGAGAUCUGGAGGAAUACCGGUGGCGAAGGCGGCCCCCUGGACAAAGACUGACGCUCAGGUGCGAAAGCGUGGGGAGCAAACAGGAUUAGAUACCCUGGUAGUCCACGCCGUAAACGAUGUCGACUUGGAGGUUGUGCCCUUGAGGCGUGGCUUCCGGAGCUAACGCGUUAAGUCGACCGCCUGGGGAGUACGGCCGCAAGGUUAAAACUCAAAUGAAUUGACGGGGGCCCGCACAAGCGGUGGAGCAUGUGGUUUAAUUCGAUGCAACGCGAAGAACCUUACCUACUCUUGACAUCCAGAGAACUUCCAGAGAUGCUUUGGUGCCUUCGGGAACUCUGAGACAGGUGCUGCAUGGCUGUCGUCAGCUCGUGUUGUGAAAUGUUGGGUUAAGUCCCGCAACGAGCGCAACCCUUAUCCUUUGUUGCCAGCGGUCCGGCCGGGAACUCAAAGGAGACUGCCAGUGAUAAACUGGAGGAAAGUGGGGAUGACGUCAAGUCAUCAGGGCCCUUACCAGUAGGGC